UACGUAGGGGGCAAGCGUUGUCCGGAAUCAUUGGGCGUAAAGAGCGCGUAGGCGGCCCAGUAAGUCCGCUCUGAAAGUCAGGGGCUCAACCCCUGAAUGCGGGUGGAUACUGCUGGGCUAGAGUCCGGAAGAGGCGAGUGGAAUUCCUGGUGUAGCGGUGAAAUGCGCAGAUAUCAGGAAGAACACCCGUGGCGAAGGCGGCUCUCUGGGACGGUACUGACGCUGAGACGCGAAAGCGUGGGGAGCAAACAGG
rnacentral:rRNA from 1 species